AAAUUAGAGUGAUACAGAGAAGAUUAGCACAGUCACUGCACGAGGAUGACACAAAAAUUUGUGAAGCGUUCUAUGUUUUU
rnacentral:snRNA from 1 species